CCCCCAUGUUUCAUAGAUGAGGAAUGUGCUUUGGAUCUUGGGUGGUUCCUUUUGGCCUCCACACUUUGCUCAUGUAUAAAAAGUGCUGCCGUUGUACCCCUGAGCACGUUAAAAAGUUGUGUAAGUCUCUCUGGAUAACAGCGUCUGCAAAUGCCAGCAAUGUAAUGAAAAAGUAGCCCUAGCAAGCCGGCUAGCUAACCACUAAUGAUGACCAACCCAGCUAGCACAAAACGCUUUCACAAUGUUGCUGCCAUGUAGCGCCAAUAUUAUAACACUGACAGCACAUUCCAGUGACAUUGUGAGAACAUUCUCUGUGUGCUAGCUUGGAGGUUGCCAUGUUCAGUCGUUCUAUGAUCGCAAUAAAAGUUAUGAAACAUGUAACAAGUUGACCUAUGUUGUAAUGUCGCACCCAUUUCUAUCACAUUACGUUAGCGAGUUUUACUGACGUACUGGAGCUCUCCAGUACGUGCCUCCGACAGUGGACCAUCACUCGCCGCGCCCAGAAAAUGACACGGUUUACGGAUGUAGAUAGCAACAUUGUUUUAAUCUAGCUAGCUAAGCAGCUAGCUAGCAUAGCGUUUCGGAUGUCCAUUAAUAAUAUUUUCCCUGAGGUUUGUCCAGGAAUUGCAGCAUUUUGGGAGAGCAGUGCAGGCGGGUUUCUGUGUGCCUCAUGCAGCUGAGUCCUGUGGCGGGGCCCGGUCAAUGGUAUCUCCCACCAUGAAGGCUGUGGUCGACGCGGUUUGGGUGGUGUGGAGCGUCGGCGCCUCGAUCUACGACUACGUGAACACGAACGCCAUGGAGGAGCGCAUCCACGCACUAGAGAACGUAAUAACUAUCCACCAGUGUGUCAUCGGAGCGCUGACUGCGGGCCUGGUCAUGCUGAUGACCUACAUCCUGUUGAGGAAGCACUGAGGGCAUAUGGGUGAUGCCAGCACGCGGGCACCAAGGUGCGUCAACUGCGGGCGCAGGAAUCCAGCCUGGUCUGACACUCACAAAAAAAAAAGGGACACAAACUGUCUGUUUUUUUAACACUGCCUUAAGGUACUUCUUGUUGACAGGUUCAAAGGUAGACAUGCCACAUAACAUUUACUACUGAUAAACUCUUUCAUGUUUGCACUAAUUUCCCAUCAACAGUGGCCAUACUUGAGAGGCUGUUUUCUGGGCAGUACUUUAAUUUGUUUUUCUUGCUAAGAUAAACUGAAAUCCUGUAUGCAUAUAAUUCACCCUUUAGAAUUCCUGAGUUGAUAGAAUGGUGCUUACCUAGUCCCAGUAGCGAUCCAGGGAGAAGGCAGUGGACUUUGUGGAAUCUGGGCAUCAAACCCAGUCCCUUGGCCAAUCACAGAAGUGACGGAAAAAUAAUCUGGCCAGAUUGGGUGCACCUCUGUGAGAAUGGAACCGUUGAGCUCCCUAGAAUCUGAUGAGCCCCCUAAUCUCUGUCCUGCCACCCUUACAGACAGACUUGAGGCUUGUAGAUUCACUGGAAUUUCCUUCUGAAGGAGGGAAGGGGUUCCAUUUGAAAAUCACGAAAUAUAUGGGCCACACAAGGCCAAUACUCAGCACGUUUCCCAGGGAAUAUAGGCAUAUUGUCCAAAGAAUCUACAGUCUUGCUCUUAAUGUGUAAUGUACAAUUGCUUACCUAUUUUAAUUGGGUUACAUUUAGAUACUGUAUGCUGUAUUAAAGUUUUUAAAAAUGUUUUUGUGAAGGAUGUUAAGCACUAUUCAGACAGAGCAGAGGUUACCAAAUUUACAGCUCUCUAAAACCACUGUAAACCACUUUUAAGGUUAUCAUAGGUUUAACUGGAAACAUUUUAAGUGUCCUUAAUCUUUAAAUCUGCAGUUAUUAGGCACAUCAUUUGUUGGCUUUUGAAGUGACUGUCAAUGUCAAUGCUGUGCCAUUCUCUUCCGUAUAGAUCGGUCAUCUUGUAGAUUUUUACAUUGUGCUGCUUUUUCUCAUCUGAUGGGCAUUGAUCCAACAUGCCACAACACUUUUUUUGUACUCUGUGAUCAUGAAAGAAUAUAAUAUGUAGGGAUGCACAACAGGGUCACUAUGGGGCUGAUAUAAACUAGCUAACCUUGAUCAUAUCAGCCGAUGCCAAUACCUCCCUGCUUUGCACUACAUCACAAGUGCAAACCGCAGUUCCCAGCAUUCAUAGAAGUAAAUGUGCACAGUUCUCCAGUAAUGAAGGACAAAUGUAACAAAUGUAUUGGCCUAACAAAAUACAGAAGCUUACUUUUGUAUUAAUCAGAGAGCUUGAGUCUAGAGAACUACUGAGUCUGUAUAGCUCUAUAUGAGUUUGGCAGGUAAAAAUGAUAAAUUUGUGUUUCGAAUGACUUUGACUAGGCUACUUUUUGUGCAUGACAAUUUAACUAAAUCUACUGCAUCAGCAGCACAUGAAAUGUGUUGCCUCCAUGGUGCAUGAACGUUGUCUCAUCACAUUGGGCAUAGUCUUAGCUUAACGGCUAAUGCCGGCAAGUUCAUUUUAAGAUGUCUGCUGAUACAGGUACAAAUUAUUGUGCAUUCCUAGUAAUUCCUUACGGGCAAUAUUAUGGUACUUUAUCAUGUUUGGGGUGUUCAUAAAGGGCUUAAAGGUAUAGGUUUUUUCAGAGUGUAGUAUGUAGACGCUGGGCAACAGCCCUGUUCCAGAAAGCAAACUUUUUUUUUUUUAGGUCCAUGCAUUCCGAGUGCCCAUUCCAACACAAAUAUAUUUGAAAGUAUAGAUAUGAAAAAUAGCACCUAAACCUGAUUGGCUCCUCCGGUUUCAGGAUCAGUCACUUCCAAUGGAGUAAUUUCUUCCAAAACACAGGCCACCAGAAGUCUCAUAAUUGGCCUUGGCACACUGGCUGAUUAGUUAAAAGCAGAGGGUGGCUAAUAUCAUUCAGCUCACAGACAGCUGAAAGGGAAGCAUUUUAAUCCUCACCUGACCCCAAAAACUGAUAAAUAGUUUGCACAUGUGAACUGAAUUUGUGACAUGGUGUUGGUGGAAUACUGUUUAAAGAAUUCACAAAUGACUACUGAAAGAGAAUGAAACUUUACUGUAGUUCAGAGUCCGAUGUACAUUACACGUAUGAGGUUAUACUAUUUGUGAAAUCUUUUGGGUCCACACCCUAUCCAUGUUCAGAUUAUCGGAAUGCAUUUCCUGAAUUGACGCCUGCAAGCAAACAGAAUGUAACACUACAGCUGUGAACUAAUGGUGACUACACAGACACACGCUCUUGUUUAAAUCGUGUUUGUGUGCUUCAUUUAUCCAUUUAUCAUUUGUGAUAUCACGUCCAUUUUUAUUUCUGUAUGGAAUGGUGUGCCAGGGCCUGCAGAUGGCACAGGAAGUCAAGUGUCAAACCAGGAUUAAAGAGUUAAUGCACAUGUAGCCAAACCAGAGCAGCCCUGCUUUUCCGUUUAAAUAGUUCAAAAUAUGUGACACGAGGGACUAGCACAGAAACGCCCCAUAAAAACUAUUUUGUAGGAAGUUAUUUAUUUGAUGUUAAAUAUUGCAACAAUGUUCUAAAUUCUAAUAAAUGUUUAAUUCUACGAAGGUCUGAGAGAA